rnacentral:rRNA from 1 species
UACGGGGGGGGCAAGCGUUGUUCGGAAUUACUGGGCGUAAAGGGCUCGUAGGUGGCCAACUAAGUCAGACGUGAAAUCCCUCGGCUUAACCGGGGAACUGCGUCUGAUACUGGAAGGCUUGAAUCCGGGAGAGGGAUGCGGAAUUCCAGGUGUAGCGGUGAAAUGCGUAGAUAUCAGGAAGAACACCUAUGGCGAAGGCAGCUCUCUGGGACGGUACUGACGCUGAGACGCGAAAGCGUGGGGAGCGAACAGG